CACAAAAACACUUUCAUCAAAUCAACAAUCAAUAUCUUUAUUAUUCAGUACUUUUUGAUGGGGUAAGUUUUUGCCCCAGCCUUUUUAUACCUUUGUGUCUGUACUGUUCAUGUGGAUUAUGGUAUUUACAGAAACUACUGUUUCUACAGCAGGAGAUAAAACUACCUGUUAGAGAUGGUAAGAUUCAAAGUUGAAUGGGUAGUAUAGAGGGUUGGAGGGGUAGUAUAGAGGAUUGGAGGGGUAGUAUAGAGGGUUGGAGGGGUAGUAUAGAGGAUUGGAGGGGUAGUAUAGAGGAUUGGAGAGGUAGUAUAGAGGGUUGGAGGGGUAGUAUAGAGGAUUGGAGGGGUAGUAUAGAGGAUUGGAGGGGUAGUAUAGAGGAUUGAAUGAGUAGUAUAGAGGAUUGGAGGGGUAGUAUAGAGGAUUGGAGGGGUAGUAUAGAGGGUUGGAGGGGUAGUAUAGAGGAUUGGAGGGGUAGUAUAGAGGAUUGAAUGAGUAGUAUAGAGGAUUGAAGGGUAGUAUAGAGGAUUGAAUGAGUAGUAUAGAGGAUUGGAGGUAGUAUAGAGGUUGGAGGGGUAGUAUAGAGGAUUGGAGG